UGGGGAAUUUUGCACAAUGGAGGAAACUCUGAUGCAGCGACGCCGCGUGAGUGAUGAAGAUCUUCGGAUUGUAAAACUCUGUCCUUAGUGAAGAUAAUGACAGUAACUAAGAAGCAAGCCCUGGCUAAAUACGUGCCAGCAGCCGCGGUAAUACGUAUGGGGCAAGCGUUGUCCGGAAUUAUUGGGCGUAAAGGGUACGUAGGCGGUUGAAUAAGUCCUAAUUAAAAGGCUAUGGCUCAACCAUAGUAUGGUUAGGAAACUGUUGAACUUGAGUAGAUGAGGGGAAAGUGGAAUUCCAUGUGUAGCGGUGAAAUGCGUAGAUAUAUGGAGGAAAACCAAUGGCGAAGGCAACUUUCUGGAAUCAAACUGACGCUGAGGUACGAAGGCGUGGGGAGCAAACAGG
rnacentral:rRNA from 1 species